rnacentral:rRNA from 1 species
GACGAACGCUGGCGGCGUGCCUAAUACAUGCAAGUAGAACGCACAGUUUAUACCGUAGCUUGCUACACCAUAGACUGUGAGUUGCGAACGGGUGAGUAACGCGUAGGUAACCUGCCUGGUAGCGGGGGAUAACUAUUGGAAACGAUUGCUAAUACCGCAUAAUAUUAAUUAUUGCAUGAUAAUUAAUUGAAAGGUGCAAUUGCACCACUACCAGAUGGACCCGCGUUGUAUUAGCUAGUAGGUGAGGUAACGGCUCACCUAGGCGACGAUACAUAGCCGACCUGAGAGGGUGAUCGGCCACACUGGGACUGAGACACGGCCCAGACUCCUACGGGAGGCAGCAGUAGGGAAUCUUCGGCAAUGGACGAAAGUCUGACCGAGCAACGCCGCGUGAGUGAAGAAGGUUUUCGGAUCGUAAAGCUCUGUUGUAAGAGAAGAACGGGUGUGGGAGUGGAAAGUUCACACUGUGACGGUAUCUUACCAGAAAGGGACGGCUAACUACGUG